rnacentral:rRNA from 1 species
CCUACGGGCGGCAGCAGUGGGGAAUAUUGGACAAUGGGGGCAACCCUGAUCCAGCCAUGCCGCGUGUGUGAAGAAGGCCCUCGGGUUGUAAAGCACUUUCAGUGAGGAAGAACGCCUGGUGGUUAAUACCCAUCAGGAAAGACAUCACUAACAGAAGAAGCACCGGCUAACUCCGUGCCAGCAGCCGCGGUAAUACGGAGGGUGCGAGCGUUAAUCGGAAUUACUGGGCGUAAAGCGCGCGUAGGUGGCUUGAUAAGCCGGUUGUGAAAGCCCCGGGCUCAACCUGGGAACGGCAUCCGGAACUGUCAAGCUAGAGUGCAGGAGAGGAGGGUAGAAUUCCCGGUGUAGCGGUGAAAUGCGUAGAGAUCGGGAGGAAUACCAGUGGCGAAGGCGGCCUUCUGGACUGACACUGACACUGAGGUGCGAAAGCGUGGGUAGCAAACAGGAUUAGAUACCCGUGUAGUC